AGACAGAGGUGGCAAGCGUUGUUCGGAUUUACUGGGCUUAAAGGGCGUGUAGGCGUCCUGGUAAGUCAGAUGUGGAAGCCUUGGGCUCAACCCAAGAAUUGCAUUUGAUACUGCCGGGAUUGAGUCGUGCAUGGGAGGGCGGAAUUCCUGGUGUAGCGGUGAAAUGCGUAGAUAUCAGGAGGAAGGCCGGUGGCGAAGGUGGCCCUCUGGGCAAUGACUGACGCUGAGGCGCGAAAGCGUGGGGAGCAAACAGGAUUAGAUACCCCAGUAGUCC
rnacentral:rRNA from 1 species